AUUCUUAAUUAAUUAUGGUAAUAAAAAGUCCUACAUUUCAGUCGGUGAAACCUGCAGAAAGCAUUGCUUUCUGAGCUUUGUUAAAUGUUCCUUAAAUACCUGUUAGUUAUGGAUUUCUAGUAUAUUUUGUCAGGCUAAAACUCUCAAUGGAUUAUCCAUUAUUACAGACUUGAGCUUUCUAUUUUUUUCUUUAAAAUACAUAUUCCUCUGCUGUAAAGAUGUUGGGGUUUUUUGGACUCUUCUUUGUUGUCCCCAAAUAAUUGUAGCUCAGAAACAAUAUUGAAGUUCAUUGGUUUAAUUUUGAAAUGUUGAUGUUUUUUGUGUUGAUUGUUUGUGCUCAUUUUGACCUAUGUUACUAUUGCUUUCUACCAUGUUCAAUUCACCAUUGUUCUGCACAUAUGUGCUUGCAUACAAGUGUCCAGUGGUUAUAUUCAUGAGGCAUUCAAGGGACUUGUACUAAAAGAUACAACUCAGUUCAGUAUGAAUUGCAUAUUUUAAUGGCUGAAAAUAUAUCUGAUCUCUUUCAGAACAUCACCUGUCUGUAAUCCACCUGCGUAAGUACUGGUCAAGGGGCUCAUCGGCUAUCAAGUUAUAGAUUGCAGUGGCUAAUAGAAGACACUGCUGAGGUCAGACGAGAGUGCAUCCUCAAAGGUCUGUGUGUACCUAAAUGAAGAUCCAGAGAAGCUGGUGAGGGAGUACAUGGACGUUGAUGAAUGAAAUGGCCAAAGCCGAGACUGUCCUCGGAAUCGUCAUUUGAGCAGAGGCUGCCGAUGCACAUCUGGAUGUUGGGAUUGUCCUGGAGGAGGUGGAAGUUAUGAACAGCUUGGGCAGUGUAUCUUCUGCAAUAGUGAUGCUGCUGGGACUAAUCUACGCACUAAACUUGAGCUACCCUCAAGUUUAGUGCGUUCAGCACUCAACUUGCUCAGUAACUCAAGCAUACCUUUGAAGUAAUACAGAAAAUAAUAAUGAAAUUGGAUGGAA